UAGUACGGCGAGUGAAGCGGGAAGAGCUCAAAUUUGAAAUCUGGUAGCCUUCGGUUGCCCGAGUUGUAAUCUAGAGAAGUGUUUUCCGCGUUGGCCCAUGUACAAGUCCCUUGGAACAGGGCGUCAUAGAGGGUGAGAAUCCCGUCCUUGACAUGGACCCCCAAUGCUUUGUGAUACACUUUCAACGAGUCGAGUUGUUUGGGAAUGCAGCUCAAAAUGGGUGGUGAAUUCCAUCUAAAGCUAAAUAUUGGCGAGAGACCGAUAGCGAACAAGUACCGUGAGGGAAAGAUGAAAAGCACUUUGGAAAGAGAGUUAAACAGUACGUGAAAUUGUUGAAAGGGAAACGAUUGAAGUCAGUCAUGCUCUUUGGAUUAAGCCGUUCUGCGGUGUAUUUCAUUGAGCGGGGUCAACAUCAGUUUUGAUCGCUGGAAAAGGGCAGGAGGAAGGUAGCACUCUCGGGUGAACUUAUAGCCUCUUGUCGUAUACAGUGAUUGGGACUGAGGAACGCAGCAUGCCUUUUGGCCGGGAUUCGUCCACGUACAUGCUUAGGAUGUUGACAUAAUGGCUUUAAACGAUCCGUCUUGAAACACGGGCCUG
rnacentral:rRNA from 1 species